rnacentral:lncRNA from 1 species
AAAAAUCCUUAACCUCCUCACCUUGAGUUGAGACGAACAUGUAUUUAGGAUGAGGAGAAUGGUUUAAGUUUGGGGGAGUUCUUAUUGUCAAAAGGGAGCAUUGAGAAAAUAGCAAAAUGAGUCAAAAAGAAAGAAAAAGAAGAAAGAAGAAGAAGAGAAAGAAAAAUGAAUUCAUUAAACAAGAGUUGGGAAAUAAGUGGAAAAGUGGUUUAUUCAAUUAUGGAGCAAAAGAAAGACUAAUGUUAUAUCAUGAAUUAAAUCGUUUGGUCUCUUAGCUCAAGGUACUUUGUUGUCCAGAAAAACCAAUUUUUCUUCUUAGCCCAACCACAAUACAAGCCUUAAAAAG